rnacentral:rRNA from 1 species
AGAUUGAACGCUGGCGGCAUGCCUAACACAUGCAAGUCGAACGGGAGUAGCAAUACUCUAGUGGCGGACGGGUGAGGAAUACGUAGGAAUUUGCCCUUAAGUGGGGGAUAACCCGGGGAAACCCGGAUUAAUACCGCAUGACCUCGAAAGAGCAAAGUGGGGGAUCGCAAGACCUCACGCUUUUGGAGAAGCCUACGUCGGAUUAGCUAGUUGGUGAGGUAAUGGCUCACCAAGGCGACGAUCCGUAACUGGUCUGAGAGGAUGAUCAGUCACACCGGAACUGAGACACGGUCCGGACUCCUACGGGAGGCAGCAGUGGGGAAUAUGGACAAUGGGCGCAAGCCUGAUCCAGCAAUGGCCGCGUGUGUGAAGAAGGCCGUUCGGUUGUAAAGCUACUUUAAGGUUAGGGUAAAGAAAAAAGUCGACUCUAACA